UGUAUGCCGGUACAUCAGUUGAAGUAGUUCGUAAAUUUUUGAAUUAUAUCAUUUAUGAAAUAUAGUGUUUUAGAAUUGUUUUUAUUGAUCCAAGUUUAAAUUGAUUGUCAGUGAAGUAUAUUAUUGCAAACACAAUUAAGAUUUCCAAGAGUUAAGUCAUAAAGUUUAACUGCUAAAUAAAAUUAAUACGCGAUCUACUUGCAGCGGACUUAAACGUUCCUCUUUUUAAGUAUGUAAACCGUCCAAACACAUCCGAGGUUGUUUUCGAAAAAAAUGGCCGAGGAGUUCCGAAUGCUGUGGGAUCAUGACUGAUUUUCCAGAUGACUAGUUUUGUGAUAUUUGAACAGUUUUGAAAGUGAAUGGAAGCAGGCUUGUUUGAUUUGUAUGGUUUUACCUUAUGCUUCUAUCCAUAUUUGAGUUGUCCUAACAGCAUCACAGCUUUGACCAUGUUGAUGGCACAGACAGUGUAGAGGCGUGACAGUGAUGUGAGCGUUGAGUGAGCGUUCAUACAAUUGGAUCCAUAAUCCUUAUGUUGAUUAUUCACAUAUAUACGUGUAUACCAUCAGAUGAAUACAGAGUGAUAUAGAGACAGAGUUGUUUAUCUAAUUAUUGUACACCAUCAUAAUAAACAGACAAAGACUAGAACCCCUCCCUUAACUCGAGGACAUUCCCUUAUCGAUAUAUAUAUAUAUAUAUAUUGACAUUAUAAGCCGGAAAUCCAUGGGUUACCUGUGGACAAAAGACGAAGCGCUGAUGUUGGAGUACGGGCGUAAGGAGAUGGCACUCCUCGUGAGCCAGUACCGUCAGUCCAUCUCAUGUACAGACUGCAGUGUAGGACCAGUACAUGCUCCCCAAGCAUACCGCGGUGAAAGACGAGACCUUGAUGAGGUUGACUGUGACAGGUGUUUCGAAACGGGUUGUUGGUUCGUUCAGGGCUUGCCGUCAUCGUAUCGUCGGAUAACUGAUCCCGGCAUUUACUUCAGACUGUGAACGCGGCUUCUCAACGUUGAACCGGGUGAAAACGAACCAGCGGAGUCGCCUAGGAAACGACACCCUGAACUCUCUACUAAUGAUUUACAUGGAAGGUGCUAACGUGGAGCAGUUUUAUGACCUGGCCGUGCCGCGGUGGGCACGAGGCGAGAAUCGGCGACUUUCUGUGUAACCAAGGCAUGUUUUUACUGAUAA